GCAGAAGGAUCAUUAGUGAAGAUUUGGGCAGGCCAUACGGACGCCACAAAGUGUCCCUGGCCGCCUACACCCACUAUACAUCCACAAACCCGUGUGCACUGUCCUUGGAAAGGGCAUUCGGAGAGAAAAAGGAAGAGAAGCGAGAACAGUGCGAUCCGUCGCGUUGGGCGUUGAUCUCUGACUUGGUCUCUCUGAGGCCCUUUCCUCGCUACAAACUCGAAUGGUUAGUAUGAACGUGGAACUUGGUUGGACCGUCACUGGCCAACAAACUAUACACAACUUUCGACAACGGAUCUCUUGGUUCUCCCA
rnacentral:misc_RNA from 1 species